UACGUAGGGCGCAAGCGUUAUCCGGAAUUAUUGGGCGUAAAGAGCUCGUAGGUGGUUUGUCGCGUUGUUCGUGAAACUCACAGCUCAACUGUGGGCGUGCGGGCGAUACGGGCAGACUAGAGUACUGCAGGGGAGACUGGAAUUCCUGGUGUAGCGGUGGAAUGCGCAGAUAUCAGGAGGAACACCGGUGGCGAAGGCGGGUCCCUGGGCAGUAACUGACGCUGAGGAGCGAAAGCGUGGGAGCGAACAGG
rnacentral:rRNA from 1 species